GACCCGGUGGCGAGAGGUAUCGCGUCCGCAUUCAGUAAGCUUAAAUUCCUCAUUGAACGUUUGGCGGGAGUCCUGGUUCGAUUCCAGGCUGGGUCA